UACGUAGGUGGCAAGCGUUGUCCGGAUUUACUGGGCGUAAGGGCGUGCAGGCGGUCUGUUAAGUGCAGGGUGAAAGCUCCCGGCUCAACUGGGAGAGGUCCUUGCAUACUGGCGGACUUGAGGGGGGUAGAGGAAAGUGGAAUUCCCGGUGUAGUGGUGAUAUGCGUAGAUAUCGGGAGGAACACCUGUGGCGAAGGCGGGUCUCUGGGCCGAUACUGACGCUGAGGAGCGAAAGCGUGGGGAGCGAACAGG
rnacentral:rRNA from 1 species